UCUUGGAGGAGCCAAACGGCGGGAGAAGAAGGACCUGCUCCUCCCUCAGUCGGAUGAAUCUUCGAUCAUGUUGUGAUCCGUCAUGUUUCUUAGAAGAUGAUGGAAUGGGAGUUCUAAAGCCGAUCGAAAUCCUUUGGAAGAGCCAAAAGAAGGGCGAAGUAGGAUCUCUUCCACUUUCCUCUUCAACCAGAUUGUAAGUCUACAUGAUUCUCUACUGAUCCUUUGUCGUUCUCUAUCGAUCUUUCUUGAAUGCUUUUCCAGAGUUGCCGACGAUGUUGAGAUCUAUCGUGUUUCUUAUUCGUUUGUUCGCUUGAAAUUUUGUGGUAUCAUCUUCUUCUAGCGUUUUUGAUGGUUUUGAGAUCUGUGAUCUUUUUUGGUCAUCUGUUUUCUUGGAUAUUUCUCGCAUUCUCUUGAUCUAGAUCUAGGUAUCUCGAGGCUUUUGAGAUCUGUCCUUGUCUUCUUGUUCGUUUGUUUUGUUGGAUCCAACUGGAGGCUUCAGGCCCGUGACGAGCCCCGUUCCGAACUCGAGGCAUCCGACCCUCGCUGUGAUGAUGCUCUGACGAGCUCUUCUUCGCUGUAUACUUCUCUAUGUAAGCGAUCUUUUAUAACCCUUUGUCUCCGAUAUUUCCUUGGCGUUCCUGAUUCUUUUCUCGUUCGCGCUUCACAACCAGUGUUGGUUCCUCGUAGAUGUUUUUGUCGAUAGUUGAAAGAUUAAGGGCAGAAGUUUUCUCUCCGAUCUUUUCUUGGUCUUGAUUCUUUUGUAAUGUUGACGACCUGUGGAUGUGUUUCUUGAUAGUUAUGGGCUUAGGGAUCGUAAUAUUCAUUUUGUGUUUAAAUUUUUACUACCGUGAAUCUUUUUGUUCUUUUAGUCUUCGAUGAUUUAUCUUGUAGUUCUCUUCUGUUGAGUUCUGUUUGCAUGUAUUAUUUCAAGCUUAUCAUUCGAUCGUGUAGAUUUAUAAUUAUAUUAUAUGUUUGUGGAGCAUGAAAAUUAUUCAAAAUCAUGAAGGUGUUUGUGGAUCGUCAAUGCAAACUGCCGGGGAGAAAUACUCCAUCUGCCAUAGUAAUUAUAGCGGACCUUGGGGCUCGUUUUGCUCACAAUCAUAAACUUUUUCAUUAUUUCUUUAACGAUCUGUCAUAAUGGCCCAUUAUGCAGUGAAUAUCUAAGCGUAGAAGGUGUUCGAACGGGUAGAGUUUUAUUAAAUACUCAUCAUGACCAGUAUAAAGAAUCCGAACAGUUUUGAACAUCAAACGGACAUGUAAUAUAUAAACCAAAAUUUUUAAAAAGUAUUUACGUGACAUUAACAAUAACAAAACUGCCGACAAAGUCAACAAAUGAAGACGAAAGAUUCUUAAAUGACAGAUGUAAGCUGAUCUCAGAUAACAACCUCCCCGUAGUGGACAGCAGAAGAUGGCUUUCAAGGAGGGCAGGGAAUGAGGAAUGUGUGUUGGGGCAUGUCAUAGGAUUAGCUCUUUUAUCAUCCUUGGUUCUUGAACCAGAGUCUAAGUUGGUCUCAAUUACAAAAAACAAAGAAACCUCCCAAUCUUUGAUUGAAACUUCAAGUAGAUGUAUAUACAUUAAUUUAUUUACAUCUGUCAUAAUGGCGCAUGUGAUGAAUCACACUGCUCGAUAUGAUAUUUUUUGUGUAAAUGAGAGAUGAGGAAAUGCCUAACCUAAUAUGAUGUGCCGACUUAUGGUUCUAGAAGUUUGCCUAAGCUUGAAUAGUUGCAGAUUGACAUAUUUAUGUACCAGUGACGAUUGGUAUUUGAAGAGCAAUUAGUUUCGCUUGCAAUUUUGGGUUUUAAGGUUAGUGUCCAAACUAACAUAAUAUUAUAAUGAAUAAAUGAAAUGCUAUUAGAGUGAGAUGCCGAUCGAGACAGUCCUUAAUUCUUUAAAUGUCUUCUCCUUGCUGUUUGACAAUGGUUCAUUUCAUUCAACCAAUGGCUGCCUUCAUGUAUGAACUCUAGUAUUGAACUUUGUCAUGCAAUACAGCAAUUGACAUCGUCUCCAUAAUAAAUAUUGUGACGAAUAUAGAUACUAAAGUUUCAUAGUUAUAAUUGCAAACCUGCAAUUUGAAAUCUUAAAUAGAUAGGAGAAUGAACUCUUUAGAUAUUGUAAUUGUGUUGUUGCCAUUGCUUAACAAUAGUUGGAGAAUGAACUCUUUAGAUUUGAAAGUUUUACGGCAGUAUUUUAAAAAGUUAAAGAAAUAGAUGCUAUGUCUGACCUUGUGGUAAUCACGUGCAAUAUUAAAAAGUGACCAUUUAUGAAAUAUUUGCAAACUUAUUAUCUAACAAUGUUACAUGGAUUUGAUUGAGCAUUGGGAACCGCAGAAAAUCGGUUUUAGUUUGUCUGCUCUUCUUGUAAUGUGAUAGGAACAACUCUUCUUGGCAUAAUACAUCAGGUUUUAAAAGAUUCUUGGCAUAAGACAUGAUUGUUAUUUUUCUUCUUUAUGAGGGAGAGGGACAGGAAGGUGGGGCACUGGUGGCAUGGAAAGGGAGGAAUUAUCUCGUUUCCAGUAAGAACUCGUCACUUAUUAAUUUUGCAUGAGUUUCUGUCACUGGAGGGAACAUUGGAGGCCGCUGCAUUUCAAAUGAGUUUUCACUGGGACCAUUUUAUGGUAAGUAACGAAUUUUUCGUUGAGCCGAAGGAAAAUGAAGCGAGAAUGCAUUCGGAGAUUUUACUUGUAAGACCUUGCUGAGAACCUGAAUAACGUUGGUACCCGUUAGCCGGAGAUGAAAAUUUUCUUAGUGUUAAACAAUUGUCUACAGUGGUUGUAGCAUUAGCCAGAAUGAAUGCGAUUUCUAAUUGUCCAUUUUUUUCCUUUAAAAACAAUUUCUUUGUUGAUAUAAGUUAGGAUCUCUCCAUGUGACAAUGGCGUGUUUCU